rnacentral:lncRNA from 1 species
ACCCGGAGGCGUCCUUCAGCUGGCCCCUCAACAAAUAUAUACUAGUCCAGUGAUAAUGAACGCCAUACUAAUUUCCAAAUUGUACACAAGAAACUAAAAUUAAAAUAAUACAAGACUAACAAAGGCCAGAGGCUCCUGACUUGGGACAGGCGCAAAAAUGCGGCGGGGUUAAACAUGUUUGUGAGAUCUCAACCCUCCCCCUAUACCUCUAACCAAUGUAGUAAAGUAAACACAUAACAAUACGCACAUUAAAAUUCAGUUCAAGAGAAAUCCG